rnacentral:rRNA from 1 species
GACGAACGCUGGCGGCGUGCCUAAUACAUGCAAGUCGAGCGGACUUAAAAAGCUUGCUUUUUAAGUUAGCGGCGGACGGGUGAGUAACACGUGGGCAACCUGCCUGUAAGACUGGGAUAACUUCGGGAAACCGGAGCUAAUACCGGAUAAUCCUUUUCUACUCAUGUAGAAAAGCUGAAAGACGGUUUACGCUGUCACUUACAGAUGGGCCCGCGGCGCAUUAGCUAGUUGGUGAGGUAACGGCUCACCAAGGCGACGAUGCGUAGCCGACCUGAGAGGGUGAUCGGCCACACUAGGACUGAGACACGGCCCAGACUCCUACGGGAGGCAGCAGUAGGGAAUCUUCCGCAAUUGACGAAAGUCUGACGGAGCAACGCCGCGUGAGUGAUGAAGGUUUUCGGAUCGUAAAACUCUGUUGUUAGGGAAGAACAAGUACGAGAGUAACUGCUCGUACCUUGACGGUACCUAACCAGAAAGCCACGGCUAACUACGUG